GAGCUCUGUUUUGCACUUUUACUCAGAUCAUGGGAGGCUUUGCCUGAAUGACAGCUGUUCCUGCAUCACUACAUUCUGCAGCCUGGGGAACCCCCUCCUCCCAUCAUCCUCUGAGUGAUGGCUUUCAUUAUUGGUCUCAGGAUUAUUCGUGGAACGUGGUACCAGCCAUGGAGAUAGAAGUCAGGGGAUCCAAAAAAGCCCACCUAAGAAGGUCUAGUUAGUUCUGUGAGCCCAGGAGAGACCCUGUCUGUUGAGUCCCAGGCUUAAAAUUGAUAGUGAUGAAAGAGGUAUGUUUGAGGGGUAGACAACUUUUGAUAUCCUCAUGGGCUAGAAAACCACCUUCAUGAGACACAGACAUUGUAUAAUUUAUCUAAUGAGCCUAAUAAUGUACAAAAAUCUUAAACCUUGUCAACAGAGAAAAUUUAAUUGUGAUGCCUAAGUUGUGCAUUUUGUAUACCUUCAUUCCUGAAUGAUUGACUUCCUUGUCUUGACUAAAUGCUGAAUUGCUCCAGUAAACUGCACUCGACAAAGGGACACUUCACUGUCACCUCACCAUCCCUGUCCUUGGGCCUCAAUCAUGUUGUAUUUUUAUAAAAAUGAAAAAAGAAUUGUCACAGUGGUCAUCAGACUUACUUGAUCAUGGAACACUGACAGUGUGAAGUAUCUAUUAGCAUCACACCGAACACUAAUGUGCUUCAGAACACAGUUUGGAAAUGUUAGACUAGAGCAUUUCACAUAUUAUACUUCAACUGUGACAAGGGAAGGACUGUGCACUGCUUUUAUGGACCCUGACUUCUGUAGAAUCUGAUACAAAGUAAGUGCACAUAAAUAAUUUACUGAAUGAUUAACCUUGAG
rnacentral:lncRNA from 1 species